ACAUUGGACUGGCCUGCACAUGCAUCCCCUUGAGGCCCUGUGCUGCCUGAUCUGUCAGUGCUAAUUUCUGGACCACCUAUUAAGGAUCCUGGUGCCUUGUUGAGGUAUGCAUUGCCAAUCAAUAACAAAGCCAUUCGGGAGGUUCAAAAGCCUCUUGAGGAUAUCACAGACAGUCUCAACGUCUCCGGGGUUAGAGCAUUGGAUUUAGUUGAGAGAGAGAGGAGCUGCGGAGGCAAUUGGAGCAGGAGAGGAGAGAGCAUGAGGAGGAAAGGAAAGAGCGAGAGAAAGAACAGAAGCAAAUUGCACAUCUUACAAGUUUGGUGACAAAGUUCUUAAAGAAAAAGACUCAAACGCACAAGUCAUCUAUCCAUCAUGAUGGGGCCAUGUAUUCAACUGGUGGUACAAAUACUCGUUGAUACAUCGUGGAGUUAUGAGCAUGUGAAAUCUAGUUUUUGGUACAUGGAUAGCU